GAAACCAACAGGGAUUGCCCUAGUAACGGCGAGUGAAGCGGCAACAGCUCAAAUUUGAAAUCUGGCCCUUGGGUCCGAAUUGUAAUUUGUAGAGGAUGUUUUUGGUGCGGUAUCUUCCGAGUUCCUUGGAACAGGACGCCUUAGAGGGUGAGAGCCCCGUACGGUUGAAUGCCUAGCCUUUGUAAAACUCCUUCGACGAGUCGAGUAGUUUGGGAAUGCUGCUCUAAAUGGGAGGUAAAUUUCUUCUAAAGCUAAAUACCGGCCAGAGACCGAUAGCGCACAAGUAGAGUGAUCGAAAGAUGAAAAGCACUUUGAAAAGAGGGUUAAAUAGCACGUGAAAUUGUUGAAAGGGAAGGAUUUAUGACCAGACUUUUUCUAGGCGAAUCAUCCGGUGUUCUCACCGGUGCACUUCGUUUAGUUUAGGCCAGCAUCGAUUUUCGGGGUGGGAUAAAAGCUUUAGGAAUGUGGCUCCCUCGGGAGUGUUAUAACCUAUUGUAUAAUACCGCCCUGGGGAUCGAGGUACGCGCUUCUGCAAGGAUGCUGGCGUAAUGGUUAUCAAUCACCCGUCUUGAAACACGGACCAAGGAGUCGAACAUUUGUGCAAGUGUUUGGGUGUUAAACCCUCACGCGUAAUGAAAGUGAACGGAGGUGAGAGCCCUUACGGGUGCAUCAUCGACCGAUCCUGAUGUCUUCGGAUGGAUUUGAGUAAGAGCAUAACUGUUCGGACCCGAAAGAUGGUGAACUAUGCGUGGAUAGGGUGAAGCCAGAGGAAACUCUGGUGGAGGCUCGCAGCGGUUCUGACGUGCAAAUCGAUCGUCAAAUCUGCGCAUGGGGGCGAAAGACUAAUCGAAC
rnacentral:rRNA from 1 species